rnacentral:lncRNA from 1 species
GGGGGGGGGCGGGGCCACGGCGCCUCAGCCGGCUCACCUUUACUGACCGAUGUAAUGAGAUUACCUAGUUCACACGUCAUGACCCAAGUGAGAGGGUAGAGAGAGAGGGAGAGAGAGAGAGAGAGAGAGAGAGAGAGAGAGAGAGACUCGAGCAGGACCGCUGCUGCUGCUGCAUGCAGUCUGCUCGCAUUAGCCCCAGGAUACGCUCCUCCGGUGAAGUGCUGCGUCGGGCUAAAGACGCCGGGACAGCGGAGCGCCGAUGAGCCCAUGUGAGGACGCUGGAGGAGUCCUGCCAGCCGGUAUCUGUGGCUCCCGCGCCCGGAACAAGGGGGGGGGUUUAUUCGUUGACCACUUCUGGAGCCGAAACAUGGUGGGCAGACAGUGAGGCCUGACAGAAGAUGCGGCGGGGGUGGUGGCUCAUCAGAUGGCUGGGGACAGGACUGGCAAUCCUCUCCUUGCUCAGCCACAGCUGGGGCCAGGACACAGGAGACUGGCAGUACGAGGGUAAGAGGGCAAACAUUCGUUGUCUUCCUGUCUCUUCCACCGUUUCGCUCCACAGUUUCCUGGUACUUAACUUUCCUCACAUCAUCUGCGGAGCUUGUCGCCUUGUUGCUCCUAUUUCACUGCACUAGACACCUCCCUCACCCCUGUCUCCUCCUCUCCACCUUUCCUGCUGCUCCAUCUGGUGCUGUCUGUCAAGCUGCCAUUAUUUGUGUCCCAUGUGCUCAUAGCAUCUAGCUGCUGUGACCUCCAUCUGUGAAGCCAGUCUUGUCAGAGCUCUGCUUAUGAUGUUGCCA